UGAUACAUUGAGCUAACCAAUACUAAUUGCCCGAGAGGCUUAACCAU
rnacentral:rRNA from 1 species